UAGGAUCUUCCACAAUGGACGAAAGUCUGAUGGAGCAACGCCGCGUGAGUGAAGAAGGGUUUCGGCUCGUAAAGCUCUGUUGGUAGUGAAGAAAGAUAGAGGUAGUAACUGGCCUUUAUUUGACGGUAAUUACUUAGAAAGUCACGGCUAACUACGUGCC
rnacentral:rRNA from 1 species